AUACGGAGGGGACUAGCGUUGUUCGGAAUUACUGGGCGUAAAGAGUUAGUAGGCGGACUGAUAAGUAAGAGGUGAAAUCCCAGGGCUCAACCCUGGAACUGCCUUUUAAACUGUCAGUCUAGAGACCGGAAGAGGUUAGGGGAAUACCUAGUGUAGAGGUGAAAUUCGUAGAUAUUAGGUGGAACACCAGUGGCGAAGGCGCCUAACUGGUCCGGUACUGACGCUGAGGAACGAAAGCGUGGGGAGCAAACAGGAUUAGAAACCCUAGUAGUCC
rnacentral:rRNA from 1 species